rnacentral:rRNA from 4 species
UACGUAGGUGGCAAGCGUUGUCCGGAAUUAUUGGGCGUAAAGCGCGCGCAGGUGGUUCCUUAAGUCUGAUGUGAAAGCCCACGGCUCAACCGUGGAGGGUCAUUGGAAACUGGGGAACUUGAGUGCAGAAGAGGAAAGUGGAAUUCCAAGUGUAGCGGUGAAAUGCGUAGAGAUUUGGAGGAACACCAGUGGCGAAGGCGACUUUCUGGUCUGUAACUGACACUGAGGCGCGAAAGCGUGGGGAGCAAACAGG